ensembl:ncRNA mir-2499 mir-2499 stem loop
UCCUUGCUGUGGGUGUGGUUGCGUGCGUAGACGUCAGCGCAAUGCCUUUGUUUGGCGGCAUGCGGAUGACAUUCACGUCCGUAUCCGCACACACAU